CAGCUAUAUGGGAGUUGCUGUGCAUAGAACUGAAAAAUGCUGAUAUUUUGAAAGCAACCCAUCGGCCUUGAGUGAAGACCGGGCUCCUGUUGCGAGCGGAGCUGCACAAACUGGCAAGAGCCACUUGCUCCCCUGAAGAGUUUAGCAAUAUCUGCCUGACGAAGGCAGGCACCACUGGCGGGUGCAAGCAGGCAAGCUGGAGACCAAGGCACUUGUCCAAGGAGAUGAUUGUUGCAUACCUGUUGAAAGUGUCAUCUUCCUGUACCUUAAAGCAAAUGAAAAUCAUAUUCAAGGAGGACUUCUGAGCACCACAGAGGGAAAAAAAAAAUGGGAGAGGUCAUGCAGGAGACUUCCUAGCCUGUGCACGUGCUAGCCUGCAUCCUCAGAGGCAAGUGAACAUGCUGCCAGUUUGAUUGGGAGCAGUGUUCAGAUGCCAGCCUUCACUACAGAUGGCUGAAACUGAAUUUUCAGUUCAUUGGGUGUGCUGUUUCUACCCUAUCUGAACUACAAGUAUGUUUGUUUAAAUAUUUUCUCUGAAAUUUCACUUUUGGAAAUUUGCCUUGUAGCAUUUCAGAACUAAUUCCGCCCGGUGAAUUAUUUAAUUUGGGAGUUGUUAAUUAUAAUAAUUGUAUGAUAUCCCCUGAUGUUAGUUAUCAGAACUGUCCUGAUGUAAUUGAUAAGUAACACAGACAAUAUGAAAACUGAUAUGAGCCAGCUAAAACAGGUUUUGACAUCUGAUUUUAAAAUUUCACUGCA